AGCAGCCACGGUAAUUCCAGCUCCAAUAGCGUAUAUUAAAGUUGUUGCAGUUAAAAAGCUCGUAGUUGAAUUUCGGGGUUCUACCGUUGGUCGGGCUUUGUCUGUACUGGCGUGUAGAAUUUCUACCUUCUGGGGAACCAUCAUGUUAUUAAUUUAACGUGGUGGGAAACCAGGACCUUUACCUUGAAAAAAUUAGAGUGUUCAAAGCAGGCUUAUGUCUGAAUACAUUAGCAUGGAAUAAUAGAAUAGGACGGUGGUCCUGUUUUGUUGGUUUCUGAAUCACCGUAAUGAUUAAUAGGGAUAGUUGGGGGCAUUAGUAUUCAAUUGUCAGAGGUGAAAUUCUUGGAUUUAU
rnacentral:rRNA from 1 species